rnacentral:rRNA from 1 species
CCUACGGGAGGCAGCAGUGAGGAAUAUUGGACAAUGGUCGAAAGACUGAUCCAGCCAUGCCGCGUGCAGGAAGACGGCCCUAUGGGUUGUAAACUGCUUUUGUUUGGGAAGAAACCUUUCUACGUGUAGAAAGCUGACGGUACCAUACGAAUAAGCACCGGCUAACUCCGUGCCAGCAGCCGCGGUAAUACGGAGGGUGCAAGCGUUAUCCGGAUUUAUUGGGUUUAAAGGGUCCGUAGGCGGACUUAUAAGUCAGUGGUGAAAUCCUGCAGCUCAACUGUAGAACUGCCAUUGAUACUGUAAGUCUUGAAUUCGGUUGAAGUGGGCGGAAUAUGGCAUGUAGCGGUGAAAUGCUUAGAUAUGCCAUAGAACACCGAUUGCGUAGGCAGCUCACUAAGCCUGGAUUGACGCUGAGGGACGAAAGCGUGGGUAGCGAACAGGAUUAGAUACCCUGGUAGUCCACGCCGUAAACGAUGAUUACUCGACAUUAGCGAUACACGGUUAGUGUNAUAAGAGAAGACGAUAAGUAAGUACACCGUACGGGUAAGGUACGUUCGUUCGAAGAAAGUUAGAAACGUAACGAAAGAAGUUAGUAGGACGGNGAGAGAGCGACGACGACGACGAGGAGGAGGAGG